GCGGGAGGAAAAGAAACCAACAGGGAUUGCCUCAGUAACGGCGAGUGAAGCGGCAACAGCUCAAAUUUGAAAUCUGGCCCCCUCGGGGUCCGAGUUGUAAUUUGUAGAAGAUGCUUCGGGUGUGGCCCCGGUCUAAGUUCCUUGGAACAGGACGUCACAGAGGGUGAGAAUCCCGUAUGUGACCGGUGGCCUCCCCCGUGUGAAGCUCUUUCGACGAGUCGAGUUGUUUGGGAAUGCAGCUCAAAAUGGGUGGUAAAUUUCAUCUAAAGCUAAAUAUUGGCCAGAGACCGAUAGCGCACAAGUAGAGUGAUCGAAAGAUGAAAAGCACUUUGGAAAGAGGGUUAAACAGUACGUGAAAUUGUUGAAAGGGAAGCGCUUGCAACCAGACUUGCGCGCGGUCGAUCAUCCGGGGUUCUCCCCGGUGCACUCGGCCGUGCGCAGGCCAGCAUCGGUUUGGGCGGCCGGACAAAGGCCUCGGGAAUGUGGCUCCUUCGGGAGUGUUAUAGCCCGAGGUGCAAUGCGGCCAGCCCGGACCGAGGACCGCGCUUCGGCUAGGAUGCUGGCGUAAUGGUUGUAAGCGGCCCGUCUUGAAACACGGACCAAGGAGUCUAACAUCUAUGCGAGUGUUUGGGUGGCAAACCCAUCCGCGUAAUGAAAGUGAACGGAGGUGAGAACCCUUAAGGGCGCAUCAUCGACCGAUCCUGAUGUCUUCGGAUGGAUUUGAGUAAGAGCAUAGCUGUUGGGACCCGAAAGAUGGUGAACUAUGCCUGAAUAGGGUGAAGCCAGAGGAAACUCUGGUGGAGGCUCGCAGCG
rnacentral:misc_RNA from 1 species